rnacentral:misc_RNA from 2 species
AACUUUCGGCAACGGAUCUCUUGGUUCUGGCAUCGCUGAAGAACGCAGCAAAAUGCGAUAAGUAAUGUGAAUUGCAGAAUUCAGUGAAUCAUCGAAUCUUUGAACGCACAUUGCGCCCGCCAGUAUUCUGGCGGGCAUGCCUGUCUGAGCGUCAUUUCAACUCUCAGGGCCCGUUCGCGGGACCUGCUGUUGGGGAUCGGCCCGCCCUCGCGGCGGCCGGCCUUUAAACCCAGUGGCGGUCCUUCUGUGAUCUCCUCUGUGCAGUAGUAAUACCUCGCAGCUGGAUAGCAGUCGGCCCACGCCGUAAAACAACCCGAUCUUCCAAGGUUGACCUCUGAUCAGGUAGGAAUACCCGCUGAAUUUAAGCAUAUCAAUAAGCGGAGGCU